rnacentral:rRNA from 1 species
AUAACAGUUAGAAAUGGCUGCUAAUACCGCAUAAGACCACAGCACCGCAUGGUGCAGGGGUAAAAACUCCGGUGGUAUGAGAUGGACCCGCGUCUGAUUAGCUAGUUGGUGGGGUAACGGCCUACCAAGGCGACGAUCAGUAGCCGACCUGAGAGGGUGACCGGCCACAUUGGGACUGAGACACGGCCCAAACUCCUACGGGAGGCAGCAGUGGGGAAUAUUGCACAAUGGGGGAAACCCUGAUGCAGCGACGCCGCGUGAGCGAAGAAGUAUUUCGGUAUGUAAAGCUCUAUCAGCAGGGAAGAAAAUGACGGUACCUGACUAAGAAGCCCCGGCUAACUGCGUGCCAGCAGCCGCGGUAAUACGUAGGGGGCAAGCGUUAUCCGGAUUUACUGGGUGUAAAGGGAGCGUAGACGGCGAGGCAAGUCUGAUGUGAAAACCCGGGGCUCAACCCCGUGACUGCAUUGGAAACUGUUUUGCUUGAGUGCCGGAGAGGUAAGCGGAAUUCCUAGUGUAGCGGUGAAAUGCGUAGAUAUUAGGAGGAACACCAGUGGCGAAGGCGGCUUACUGGACGGCAACUGACGUUGAGGCUCGAAAGCGUGGGGAGCAAACAGGAUUAGAUACCCUGGUAGUCCACGCCGU